rnacentral:rRNA from 1 species
UGGCGAAUAUUGCACAAUGGGCGGAAGCCUGAUGCAGCGACGCCGCGUGAGGGAUGACGGCCUUCGGGUUGUAAACCUCUUUCAGUAGGGACGAAGCGUAAGUGACGGUACCUGCAGAAGAAGCACCGGCUAACUACGUGCCAGCAGCCGCGGUAAUACGUAGGGUGCGAGCGUUGUCCGGAAUUACUGGGCGUAAAGAGCUCGUAGGCGGUUUGUCACGUCGUCUGUGAAAUCCUAGGGCUUAACCCUGGACGUGCAGGCGAUACGGGCUGACUUGAGUACUACAGGGGAGACUGGAAUUUCUGGUGUAGCGGUGGAAUGCACAGAUAUCAGGAAGAACACCGAUGGCGAAGGCAGGUCUCUGGGUAGUAACUGACGCUGAGGAGCGAAAGCAUGGGUAGCGAACAGG